GACGAACGCUGGCGGCGUGCCUAAUACAUGCAAGUCGAACGGAGUGGCGAACGGGUGAGUAAUGUAUCGGAACGUGCCCAGUAGCGGGGGAUAACUACGCGAAAGCGUAGCUAAUACCGCAUACUAUUGGAGCGGCCGAUAUCGGAUUAGCUAGUAGGUGGGGUAAAGGCUCACCUAGGCGACGAUCUCUAUCUGGUCUGAGAGGAUGAUCAGCCAAACUGGGACGGAGACACGGCCCAGACUCCUACGGGAGGCAGCAGUGGGGAAUAUUGCACAAUGGGCGCAAGCCUGAUGCAGCCAUGCCGCGUGUAUGAAGAAGGCCUUAGGGUUGUAAAGUACUUUCAGCGGGGAGGCGUUACCCGCAGAAGAAGCACCGGCUAACUCCGUGCCAGCAGCCGCGGUAAUAC
rnacentral:rRNA from 1 species